rnacentral:SRP_RNA from 1 species
UUUUGGGUCCUGUACAACGAUAGCCCGCCGAACCCCGUCAGGACCGGAAGGUAGCAGCGGCAGGCGACGUCGUCGUGUGAUACAGCAACGCCUGAAUGGG